CGCCAGCAGAACUACUAGCAACAGCUUAAAACUCAAAGGACUUGGCGGUGCUUUAUAUCCCUCUAGAGGAGCCUGUUCUAUAAUCGAUAAACCCCGAUAAACCUCACCACUUCUAGCUAAACCAGUCUAUAUACCGCCAUCUUCAGCAAACCAU
rnacentral:rRNA from 1 species